AUUAAGCAUAUCAAUAAGCGGAGGAAAAGAAACCAACAGGGAUUGCCUUAGUAGCGGCGAGUGAAGCGGCAAGAGCUCAAAUUUGAAAUCUGGUACCUUCGGUGCCCGAGUUGUAAUUUGAAGAAGGUAUUCUUUAGUUUGGCCCCCGUCUAUGUUCCUUGGAACAGGACGUCAUAGAGGGUGAGAAUCCCGUGCGAUGGGGUGUCCAUUCUUUGUAAGAUUCCUUCGACGAGUCGAGUUGUUUGGGAAUGCAGCUCUAAGUGGGUGGUAAAUUCCAUCUAAAGCUAAAUAUUGGCGAGAGACCGAUAGCGAACAAGUACAGUGAUGGAAAGAUGAAAAGAACUUUGAAAAGAGAGUGAAAAAGUACGUGAAAUUGUUGAAAGGGAAGGGUAUUUGAUCAGACUUGGUAUUAGAAUAUGGUUUCUCCUUGUGGGUUUCCCUCUAUUCUUUUACUGGGCCAGCAUCGGUUCGGAUGGUAAGAUAAUUGCGAUUGAAUGUGGCUCUUCGGAGUGUUAUAGCUUUCGUCGAUAUUGCCUGUCUGGACCGAGGACUGCGUCUCUUGACUAGGAUGCUGGUGGAACGAUUAAAUACCGCCCGUCUG
rnacentral:rRNA from 1 species